GACGAACGCUGGCGGCGUGCUUAACACAUGCAAGUCGAGCGGAGCGUCGCACGGGUGAGUAACGCGUGAGUAACUUCCCCCCUCUCUGGGAUAACAGUUGGAAACGGCUGCUAAUACCGGCUCGUGGGGGAUGACUCGCGUCCUAUCAGCUUGUUGGUGGGGUAGUGGCCUACCAAGGCGACGACGGGGAGCCGGCCUGAGAGGGCGACCGGCCAAAGUGGGCUGAGAUACGGCCCAAACGCCUACGGGAGGCAGCAGGGGGGAAUAUGGCGCAAGUGGGGAAACCCUGAUGCAGCAACGCCGCGGGCGGGAUGACGGCCUUCGGGUUGUAAAGAUCUGUUAAUCGGGACGGCGAAUAGGGCGAGGAUUUGACGGUACCGGAAUAGAAAGCAACGGCUAACUACGUGCCAGCAGCCGCGGUAAUUC
rnacentral:rRNA from 1 species